rnacentral:rRNA from 1 species
AGAGUUUGAUCCUGGCUCAGAUUGAACGCUGGCGGAAUGCUUUACACAUGCAAGUCGAACGGUAGAGGGGGCAACCCCUUGAGAGUGGCGAACGGGUGAGUAAUAUAUCGGAACGUGCCCAGUCGUGGGGGAUAACGUAGCGAAAGUUACGCUAAUACCGCAUACGAUCUACGGAUGAAAGCGGGGGACCGUAAGGCCUCGCGCGAUUGGAGCGGCCGAUAUCAGAUUAGGUAGUUGGUGGGGUAAAGGCUCACCAAGCCAACGAUCUGUAGCUGGUCUGAGAGGACGACCAGCCACACUGGAACUGAGACACGGUCCAGACUCCUACGGGAGGCAGCAGUGGGGAAUUUUGGACAAUGGACGAAAGUCUGAUCCAGCCAUUCCGCGUGCAGGAUGAAGGCCCUCGGGUUGUAAACUGCUUUUGUACGGAACGAAAAGGUUUCUCUUAAUACGAGGAGCUCAUGACGGUACCGUAAGAAUAAGCACCGGCUAACUACGUGCCAGCAGCCGCGGUAAUACGUAGGGUGCAAGCGUUAAUCGGAAUUACUGGGCGUAAAGCGUGCGCAGGCGGUUAUGUAAGACAGAGGUGAAAUCCCCGGGCUCAACCUGGGAACUGCCUUUAUGACUGCAUAGCUAGAGUACGGUAGAGGGGGAUGGAAUUCCGCGUGUAGCAGUGAAAUGCGUAGAUAUGCGGAGGAACACCGAUGGCGAAGGCAAUCCCCUGGACCUGUACUGACGCUCAUGCACGAAAGCGUGGGGAGCAAACAGGAUUAGAUACCCUGGUAGUCCACGCCCUAAAC